rnacentral:tRNA from 1 species
GCCUGGGUGGCUCAGUUGGUUAAGCAUCUGCCUUCAGAUCAGAUCAUUGAUCCCAGGGUCCUGGGAUCAAGCCCUGCACGGGCU